GCGCUAUAGAGAGACUAAUGGGCGUAGCCCGCCUUGAAUUCCCAGUCCGAGGCGCACAAGCAGGCCCCGAAAUUGGCAGCCGAGAGUGUAUCCUCGCCGCGGCGUGACCCGUGAGGCUGGUGGCAGAAAUCUAUUAGCGCUUGCUUGCUUGCUCGCUCGCUGGCGUCUCCCAUUUCUCAUUCCUCUUCUCUUCCCCUCCUUUCCCGCCACAGAGAGAGAGAGAGAGAGAGAAGAGAAGCAUCAGCUUCGAGAUGAAAAAUUGCUCGCGGUCUAUUCAGGAGGAGGCAAAGGAAGAGUCAGCCCCAGGGGCAGCCCGGGCCUGAUUGAAAAAUAAGUUAAUUUCAGUUUGAAUCGAUGGGCUUCAGGCACUGAAAUAUCACGGGAAAUUAAAGCGGCUGCUCCCCGGGGAUCGGCGCCAUUGACCCGCGCUAAUUAAUGCCGUGGCGGUGAAGUUCCCGCUCGCUUCUCCGCGGCGCAGGCGCCCCCUCCCUGCAGUGGCACAGCCCUGCGCGCCCUCACGCCACCAGCUUUUUCUCAUUUAACUAAUUAGGCUGGAAAAUUGGGUGUUAAUUUGUUUAGGAAUCUUUCUCUCUCUCUUUUUUUUUUUUUUACUCCCCCCCUCCCCAAUAGCUCUUCUUUUCUCUCUUUCCCUUGCCUCCCUCCCCUUUCCCUUUCCAGGGAAAGCAAAUUCUGCCCCCGGCGGAAUGGAAAUGAAUGGAGGAUGGGGGGGCGCUCGCUGGCAGAUGGAUGCUCGGGGGUCACUCCGCAAUCUUCUCCGACUUGAUUGCUUGAUUAGGUCGUUAGCACAUUAAAAAAAAAAUUGCUCGCCGUCUGGCGCUGGCCUGAUGAGUGGGACGAGGCGGGAAUCGCCUGGGUAAUUUAUCUUUUUAUACGGCAAAGAAUUUGAUUUCAAUCUGCAGAUAUAUGGAGGCGCCUUUUGACACCUGUUUAACAUUAUAGAGCUGACAGCUUAACCCUCUGAUGACUCCGCUGGGCGGACAGUAGAAACCAGCCAGAACAGAGCAGCGGAGGUCUCUCCACUACCAUUCAUAUUGGGACCAGUUUUAUUUAUUAUUAUUUGGGGGGGGGGGGUUGGCUCCAGAAGAUCCCCUGUCAGGAAGGGGAUGGUGCCAGAGGGGCUUUAUAAGCGGAGAGAUGGGGAGCUGCGUGACGGCUGCUGCCAACAAAUACCUCCCCCCUCCUCCAUUGGUGGACCCCCUAUGAUUAGUUGCAGAAAAGACAUUUUUCAUAUACAAAUUUUAACUGCAUCAUAAACUGGGAAUUAAUAAGGCUGCAGUCCCAAGCACGUUUUGUACUUGGGAGUUAAAACCCCCAUCAAAUCCAAAGCUCUUCUUCUUCUUCAUCUUCUUCUUCAUCAUCAUCAUCCCACACCCAGUAUUUUUUUCUAUGUAAUGCUUUCUCGCCCGUAGUAAUGCAGUUGUGCUCUGGAGUCUGGACCUGCUUUAUGUUAAUAUAGGACAAGCACGAUGCGAUCCAGAAGUAACUCCCGCUGAAUUCAAUGGGACUUUCUCCCUAAUACUUAUGAAACCAGCCUUAGAAAUCAGUGGACUGCACAGGUAGUCGAGGAAGCAGGCACUUGGGGUACAGCUAUUUAAAGGAUUCCGAUGGAGAGGUGAACCCCAGGACACUUGGGUGCAACUCUUAGAUCAUGCGCAGAGGCAGCUUGAACUUGGAGGUGGCCAUGGAGGAAAAACUUUAUUAAUCAACCGGCAAUUUGCUGCCCCUUAAUAACAUCCAAAAAUGUGGCAGCAGAGAGGUGAACUGCCUCAUUCAGUUUAAUGGUGGGGUGCCCUCCUCCUGUCUGAGGUGGGAAACUGACAGGGGUUUGCCAUGGUGGAUCUGUUUUAUAAAGUGGAGCCUCUCUGGUGUGGAGGAAGAUGUCACUUAUUUAAAGCUUCUCUGAUCUAUGCCGUUGGUGCUUGCUUUCAGGGAUUGCUGCUGCGGCAGUUGUUUUAUUUUUUUAUUUCGUCUUUGGAAAGGCAUAUCCAUUAAAGUCUAAUCGAACCUUAAACUGGUAAGGCUUUCUAGGAAGGUCUAAGCAGCCAUCAAAGGAACUGCUGGAGAGAGUACAGGAUCUCAGGCAACCGUUUUUCAGAGAGUUGAAACUGGUUUGAGACAUACUUCUUUUGCUCCGUUCUCACCUCUUGUCAAACAGGUUUUGCAGUUACAGGUAGGUAGCAGUAUUGGUCUGCCGUAGUCG
rnacentral:lncRNA from 1 species